AGAGUUUGAUCCUGGCUCAGGACGAACGCUGGCGGUGUGCUUCACACAUGCAAGUCGAACGGAGUAGCAAUACUCAGUGGCGGACGGGUGAGUAACACGUGGGAAUCUACCAUUAGGUGGGGAAUAACAGGCCGAAAGGACUGCUAAUGCCGCAUAUGUAGGCAUCUCGACAGAGAUGUUUAUGAAAGGAGUAAUCCGCCUUUUGAUGAGCCCGCGUCCGAUUAGCUAGUUGGUAGGGUAAAAGCCUACCAAGGCGACGAUCGGUAGGUGGUCUGAGAGGAUGAUCACCCACAAUGGGACUGAGACACGGCCCAUACUCCUACGGGAGGCAGCAGUGGGGAAUUUUACGCAAUGGGGGAAACCCUGACGUAGCGACACCGCGUGAGCGAAGAAGCCCUUUGGGGUGUAAAGCUCUGUCAACAGGAACGAAACAAAUGACGGUACCUGUGGAGGAAGCAUCGGCUAACUACGUGCCAGCAGCCGCGGUAAGACGUAGGAUGCAAGCGUUGUCCGGAUUUAUUGGGCGUAAAGAGUUCGUAGGCGGUUUGUUAAGUCUGAUGUUAAAGACCGGGGCUCAACCUCGGAACUGCAUUGGAUACUGGCAGACUAGAGUAUGGUAGAGGCAAGCGGAAUUCCCAGUGUAGCGGUGAAAUGCGUAGA
rnacentral:rRNA from 1 species